UACGAAGGGGGCUAGCGUUGCUCGGAAUUACUGGGCGUAAAGCGCACGUAGGCGGCUUCUUAAGUCGGUGGUGAAAUCCUGGAGCUCAACUCCAGAACUGCCUUUGAGACUGUAUCACUUGAACACGGGAGAGGUGAGUGGAAUUCCGAGUGUAGAGGUGAAAUUCGUAGAUAUUCGGAAGAACACCAGUGGCGAAGGCGGCUCACUGGACCGUUGUUGACGCUGAGGUGCGAAAGCGUGGGGAGCAAACAGG
rnacentral:rRNA from 1 species